rnacentral:rRNA from 1 species
CCUACGGGAGGCAGCAGUGAGGAAUAUUGGUCAAUGGACGGAAGUCUGAACCAGCCAUGCCGCGUGAAGGAAGACGGCUCUAUGAGUUGUAAACUGCUUUUGUACAAGGGUAAAUCUGAAUACGUGUAUUCAGCUGAAAGUACUGUACGAAUAAGGAUCGGCUAACUCCGUGCCAGCAGCCGCGGUAAUACGGAGGAACCAAGCGUUAUCCGGAUUUAUUGGGUUUAAAGGGUGCGUAGGCGGAGUGAUAAGUUAGAGGUGAAAUGUCCGAGCUUAACUCGGGAACUGCCUCUAAUACUGUUGUUCUAGAGAGUAGGUGCGGUAGGCGGAAUGUAUGGUGUAGCGGUGAAAUGCUUAGAGAUCAUACAGAACACCGAUUGCGAAGGCAGCUUACCAAUCUAUAUCUGACGUUGAGGCACGAAAGCGUGGGGAGCAAACAGGAUUAGAUACCCGGGUAGUC